GACGAACGCUGGCGGCGUGCUUAACACAUGCAAGUCGAACGGAAAAGCCCUGCUUUUGCGGGGUGCUCGUGUGGCGAAAGGGUGUGAAACAUAUGAGUCUCCUGCCCUUUACUUUGGGAUAACUUCAGGAAAAUGGGGCUAAUACACGAUAGGAGAUCCUGCAGCAUGGGGGGGGUUGGACAGUUUGGGUGGUUGGGGAUGGACUCGCGGCUUAUCAGCUUGUUGGUGGGGUAGUGGCUUACCAAGGCUUGGACGGGUAGCCGGCCUGAGAGGGUGACCGGCCACAGUGGGACUGAGAUACGGCCCAGACUCCUACGGGAGGCAGCAGUGGGGAAUAUUGCACAAUGGGCGGAAGCCUGAUGCAGCAACGCCGCGUGCGGGAUGACGGCCUUCGGGUUGUAAACCGCUUUCGGCUGUGACGAAGCGUGAGUGACGGUAAUGGGUAAAGAAGCACCGGCUAACUACGUG
rnacentral:rRNA from 1 species